UCUCGACUAGUAUAUCGGUUUAGUACACGCGCCUGUCAUCUCUGUAAUGCGUGCGCGCGAAAGCUGGGUUCGACUCCCAGGUCGAGAG